GACCCCCUCCCCCACACCAAUCCCGAGACGAUCCUUACUUCAACUGUUAUUUGAUACUGCCGAGUUGUUUUGAGACACACGUAUAAGUAGUCAGCCUGUACCACGUAGAAAGCCUCUUGCAUCAAUUUGAGGAUUACCGAUCAUCACUGAUCAUUACCCAAGGUUAAUAUUUUACGGCGGCUCAUUUUAUUUUGGCUUAAAAAUAAACACAAUUGACCAGUUUCUUUCCCCUGCAUUCUUGAUCGCACAUGUAAAUAGCACGUUGGUCUCAAAUAAGACAGUGAUACAAUGCAACACUUGCCGUCAGUAUUUGAAAAUAUUGAUCAAGAAGGUUGUCAGCAAGAUGAAAAGAACAAAUAUGCAGUUAAAAGUCAAAAUGUGGAUAAGCUUCAUGGUUCAAGGUCCUACCUUUGCAGAUUUUCAUAUUUUGCAUGAAUGAAUUUCAAGUUUAUAUCAUGGACGGCAGUGAAAGAAAAAAAAUCUUUUCAAUUUUCCUGCUACGAAGGAUAAAUGUAAAGACAUCUUGUUUUCGAAGGAUUGAAAUUCAUCACCUAGAAUAAAUGAAGAAAACAUAGAAACAAGACCAGAAUACAUUCAAAGACAAUGUUGGAUCAGUUAUUAUUUUCAUCAGUCAGUCAAUGAUUUAGAGUUCUUUAAAAUACCAAACGAUCUUGAAACCACAAUGUCAAUGUUCUUUGCUGAAUGACCAAAAAGUGGACUAUACAAACACACAAUGCUUGAUGAUAAGAAACUAUUAAUGUUUUGUGUGGAGGGAUAUUGUGAAAAAAAAUACAUUUACUUAAAUAGCUACUAGUAUGUUUAGCCUAAUAAUAGAGUUUUUCACUGAUUUCAAAUGGUAAAUAUUU